AUGGGAGCUUGGGGAGCGGAGCAAACCCCACCCUUAAAGACAACAAAACAGGUGCAGAGGCUGCGGGCGAUAGUCCUGCAGGGGAGGGGACUGGAGGAGAAGUUUUGGUCGCGAGAGAGCAGGAACAGUGUCCAGGGUCUCUCCGCCGCCUCCCAGGCUUGCAAGCCCUCACAGCCAGACCCUACCCAGAGGGGCGCCCCCUCGCGGGUCCCCAGCCACCACCUGCAGCUGCUGCUGUCACCUACUGUGCCACCCCCAAGUUUGAUACUCUGGGCAUUUGCACCAACCCUACCUCCCUUUCCUUCCACGAAUUUCUCCCUUUGCUCUCUACCCCCCGGUUCCGCGAGAGAUGGCCCGGCGAAGACAGACCUCCUGGACUUGAGGCCAAGUUCACCAAAUCCGCCCCGGGGAAAGGUGAGGGCAAAGGCGGGGUGGACCGAUCCAGCUGCGGCUGAGUGGCUGCAGUCCCGAGCAGGGCAGGCGAGCGCAGGAGAACUCAGGAGCAGAGAUGGGGAGCUGGAUCUGCGCAGAACCCCGGAAAAGCGCCAGCAGGAUUGCACCGAGAACAAAUCCUCCGCUCCCUCGCCCAGGGCUGGGACGCAGUGCGCUGGUGUUCCUCUAGCUGGGCGGUCCCUGUGCUCCGAACAAGAAGGUAAAGCAAGUUCAGAUCCUGCUGCCCAUGAUCAGCAAUUUCCCUAACAGGUGUCUGCAGACAGAUUAUAAGUUGGGUAGUGCGGAUUCAGACUCGAUAGCCAGGAACCUGUGUUAUGAGCUCUGGCUCAGGGCAAAAGCUAGGAUAGACAGGGUAUGAAAGCUAUGGGACACGAAUAAAACACAUUCUCUCUCCUGAUAGCUGACUUCUGGAUUCUUCACUCUUUGAUCCUGACCCAAGCCACUCGUGCCAUCAGGAGCGCAUGCCUCUGGAAUACUCGCUCCUGUCUCCUUGUGGUGAAACCUUCCGCUGAUGCCCAGAGUCUCCCAGGCUGAAUUAGUGGGUAGGAGCAAAACAGGAUGGUGGAGACAAUCAGCAGAGCAGCAGCGUCUGUUUCCUCGGGAUUCCUCCCAGGAACCCUAUUCGAAGCCAUUCCUUCUAAAAGUUUGCAGCCAGUCUCUCUUUCCUUUGUUCGUUUUUAGAGGAGGCAGUAGAGCUACCUACAUGAAAAAAACCAAAGCCUGAUACUGAUAACCUAAGUCU
rnacentral:lncRNA from 1 species